rnacentral:rRNA from 1 species
AACGAACGCUGGCGGCAUGCCUAACACAUGCAAGUCGAACGGGAUCCUAGCUUGCUAGGUGAGAGUGGCGGACGGGUGAGUAACACGUGGGAAUCUGCCUUUUGGUUCGGGAUAACCGCGGGAAACUGCGGCUAAUACCGAAUGCCCUCGAGAGAGGAAAGAUUUAUCGCCAGAAGAGGAGCCCGCGUCCGAUUAGGUAGUUGGUGGGGUAAAGCCUACCAAGCCGACGAUCGGUAGCUGGUCUGAGAGGAUGAUCAGCCACACUGGGACUGAGAUACGGCCCAGACUCCUACGGGAGGCAGCAGUGGGAAUAUUGGACAAUGGGGGCAACCCUGAUCCAGCAAUGCGCGUGAGUGAUGGAAGGCCUUAGGGUU